GUGAACGCUGGCGGUAGGCCUAACACAUGCAAGUCGCACGGCAGCACAGUAAGAGCUUGCUCUUACGGGUGGCGAGUGGCGGACGGGUGAGGAAUACAUCGGAAUCUACUUUUUCGUGGGGGAUAACGUAGGGAAACUUACGCUAAUACCGCGUACGACCUACGGGUGAAAGCAGGGGAUCUUCGGACCUUGCGCGAUUGAAUGAGCCGAUGUCGGAUUAGCUAGUUGGCGGGGUAAAGGCCCACCAAGGCGACGAUCCGUAGCUGGUCUGAGAGGAUGAUCAGCCACACUGGAACUGAGACACGGUCCAGACUCCUACGGGAGGCAGCAGUGGGGAAUAUUGGACAAUGGGCGCAAGCCUGAUCCAGCCAUACCGCGUGGGUGAAGAAGGCCUUCGGGUUGUAAAGCCCUUUUGUUGGGAAAGAAAAGCAGCAGGUUAAUACCCCGCUGUUCUGACGGUACCCAAAGAAUAAGCACCGGCUAACUUCGUG
rnacentral:rRNA from 1 species